rnacentral:tRNA from 1 species
GCCAGGGUGGCAUAGUGGUUUGAGUGUGGGACUGUGACUCUGGAGACCAGAGUUCAAUUCCUGGUUCGGCC